AUACGUAGGGAGCGAGCGUUGUCCGGAAUUACUGGGUGUAAAGGGUGCGUAGGCGGGACUGCAAGUCAGAUGUGAAAUGCCGGGGCUCAACCCCGGAGCUGCCUUUGAAACUGUGGUUCUUGCGUGAGGUAGAGGGAAGCGGAAUUCCUAGUGUAGCGGUGAAAUGCGUAGAUAUUAGGAGGAACAUCGGUGGCGAAGGCGGCUUACUGGGCCUUUACUGACGCUGAGGCACGAAAGCGUGGGGAGCAAACAGGAUUAGAUACCCUGGUAGUCCACGCUGUAAACGAUGAUGACUAGGUGUGGGGGGACUGAACCCUUCCGUGCCGCAGUUAACACAAUAAGUCAUCCACCUGGGGAGUACGGCCGCAAGGUUGAAACUCAAAUGAAUUGACGGGG
rnacentral:rRNA from 1 species